rnacentral:rRNA from 1 species
UACGAAGGGGGCUAGCGUUGCUCGGAAUCACUGGGCGUAAAGGGUGCGUAGGCGGGUCUUUAAGUCAGGGGUGAAAUCCUGGAGCUCAACUCCAGAACUGCCUUUGAUACUGAAGAUCUUGAGUUCGGGAGAGGUGAGUGGAACUGCGAGUGUAGAGGUGAAAUUCGUAGAUAUUCGCAAGAACACCAGUGGCGAAGGCGGCUUACUGGUCCGGUACUGACGCUGAGGUGCGAAAGCGUGGGGAGCAAACAGG